AGAAUAUGCAUACAGCGUUACGAAGCUGAGGACCAAGCUGCUGAAUGACUAGAGCAAAGCUACGAGAGACCUUGUGAAGCAUGGAGUAACAAAAACCCCAGUGAGGUUCUGGUGGGAUCUGCUUCUCUGCAUGCCUCACGGCCAUUUUCAACUUCAAAAGCGGGUAAAAAUCAUCUGGGUGUUUCAAAAUGGCUCCCAAACUUCCCAUUAUGACCAGAUCCCUUGAGAAACGAAAUGGGAUACGGAAAAGGAUUUUGAUUCCCAAUCGAGUUUUACAGGGCAAUUAAGUGAAUGGGUUUUUAUAGGAGAAGAAGAUGGGCAAGGACUAAAUAAAGGAUUCAACUAUGAAUUACCCUCAAAAGUUGUUGGUUUGGCAAAUUG
rnacentral:misc_RNA from 1 species